rnacentral:snRNA from 1 species
AUGCCUGAGCGGGGUAAAGC